UGGCGGACGGGUGAGGAAUACAUCGGAAUCUACUCUGUCGUGGGGGAUAACGUAGGGAAACUUACGCUAAUACCGCAUACGACCUACGGGUGAAAGCAGGGGAUCUUCGGACCUUGCGCGAUUGAAUGAGCCGAUGUCGGAUUAGCUAGUUGGCGGGUUAAAGGCCCACCAAGGCGACGAUCCGUAGCUGGUCUGAGAGGAUGAUCAGCCACACUGGAACUGAGACACGGUCCAGACUCCUACGGGAGGCAGCAGCC
rnacentral:rRNA from 1 species